rnacentral:sRNA from 1 species
CCAGCGUGAUUUGAAAGAAGAUGGAGGUUCAGCGAAGCAGAAAGGAGGUCUUGGAAUAUGUGAGGCCUGUUCCAGAUGGCAGGUGCGACUCGGUGGUGGCGGUGGCGGCGGCGGCUACGCGCUAACAGUUGGAGAUUGUGCACAAGGGUGGAGAAGAGGGGGCAGAUGGCCUGUCGGAGCCAGAGGGCAUCUCUCUGAAGCGGGUCGCUGUGGUGGAAGAUUUCUUUGACAUCAUCUACUCGAUGCAUGUGGAGAGCUCAGCGGAGCCAGGCAAAGCCCCCAAGCACGCUGGGCAGAAGAAAACCUA